rnacentral:rRNA from 1 species
UACAGAGGGUGCGAGCGUUGUUCGGAAUUAUUGGGCGUAAAGGGCGCGUAGGCGGUGCGGUAAGUCACCUGUGAAAUCUCCUGGCUCAACUGGGAGCUUGCAGGCGAAACUGCCGUGCUGGAGUGUGGGAGAGGUGCGUGGAAUUCCUGGUGUAGCGGUGAAAUGCGUAGAUAUCAGGAGGAACACCUGUGGCGAAGGCAGUGGUCUGGGCCGAUACUGACGCUGAGGAGCGAAAGCGUGGGGAGCGAACAGG